rnacentral:rRNA from 1 species
GAUCAUGGCUCAGGAUGAACGCUGGCGGCGUGCUUAACACAUGCAAGUCGAACGAAGCACUUAAGAUUGAUUCUUCGGAUGACGUCUUUUGUGACUUAGUGGCGGACGGGUGAGUAACGCGUGGGUAACCUGCCUCACACAGGGGGAUAACAGUUAGAAAUGACUGCUAAUACCGCAUAAGACCACGGAGUCGCAUGGCUCAGUGGGAAAAACUCCGGUGGUAUGAGAUGGACCCGCGU